rnacentral:rRNA from 1 species
GAUGAACGCUGGCGGCGUGCCUAAUACAUGCAAGUCGAGCGAACGGACGAGGAGCUUGCUCCUCUGACGUUAGCGGCGGACGGGUGAGUAACACGUGGAUAACCUACCUAUAAGACUGGGAUAACUUCGGGAAACCGGAGCUAAUACCGGAUAAUAUAUUGAACCGCAUGGUUCAAUAGUGAAAGACGGUUUUGCUGUCACUUAUAGAUGGAUCCGCGCCGCAUUAGCUAGUUGGUAAGGUAACGGCUUACCAAGGCAACGAUGCGUAGCCGACCUGAGAGGGUGAUCGGCCACACUGGAGCUGAGACACGGUCCAGACUCCUACGGGAGGCAGCAGUAGGGAAUCUUCCGCAAUGGGCGAAAGCCUGACGGAGCAACGCCGCGUGAGUGAUGAAGGUCUUCGGAUCGUAAAACUCUGUUAUUAGGGAAGAACAAAUGUGUAAGUAACUAUGCACGUCUUGACGGUACCUAAUCAGAAAGCCACGGCUAACUACGUG